UUGCAGAGGGCGCUUUGGCUUUGGCAGCGGUCCAAGUUCCUUGGAACAGGACGUCACAGAGGGUGAGAAUCCCGUACGUGGUCGCUAGCUAUUGCCGUGUAAAGCCCCUUCGACGAGUCGAGUUGUUUGGGAAUGCAGCUCUAAAUGGGAGGUAAAUUUCUUCUAAAGCUAAAUAUUGGCCAGAGACCGAUAGCGCACAAGUAGAGUGAUCGAAAGAUGAAAAGCACUUUGGAAAGAGAGUCAAACAGCACGUGAAAUUGUUGAAAGGGAAGCGCUUGCAGCCAGACUUGCUUGCAGUUGCUCAUCCGGGCUUUUGCCCGGUGCACUCUUCUGCAGGCAGGCCAGCAUCAGUUUGGGCGGUGGGAUAAAGGUCUCUGACACGUUCCUUCCUUCGGGUUGGCCAUAUAGGGGAGACGUCAUACCACCAGCCUGGACUGAGGUCCGCGCAUCUGCUAGGAUGCUGGCGUAAUGGCUGUAAGCGGCCCGUCUUGAAACACGGACCAAGGAGUCUAACAUCUAUGCGAGUGUUUGGGUGUCAAGCCCGAGCGCGUAAUGAAAGUGAACGGAGGUGGGAACCCGCAAGGGCGCACCAUCGACCGAUCCUGAAGUUUACGGAAGGAUUUGAGUAAGAGCAUGGCUGUUGGGACCCGAAAGAUGGUGAACUAUGCUUGAAUAGGGUGAAGCC
rnacentral:rRNA from 1 species